UCCACUCCACGACGGCGCGCCGCACUCUGCCCACGACCUCGACCUCCUCCCCCAUGACCACGACCAUGCGCCGUUUCAACCUCGGCACUUCUGCAGAACCGUCCACGCCCCGCAUGCCCGCAUCCUCCACCUCUUCCCGUCCAACUCCGUUCCCACCUGGCCUAGAACUGCAGACGGCCAAGACUGGCGAUGCUUCUCAGAUCCAUGCUCAUCACCGCUCGCUCACCUACCUCCCAGUACCUCCUCCUUCCGUAAUAACCUGGCGUGCAGCGUGGUGCUCCUCGGCACCGCCGCCACCUACCCCAACAGCGGGCGCUCUGACAACGGCGACCGUGGCGGUGCAGGUGUAGGGGCUGGGGAGUUUGUGCCCUGCCGGAUCCAGUUGAUCGCAGAGGUUUCCCUCGCUAAGCUCUUCGCAGACUUCGCCAGCCCAGUCGACACGUCUGCGCUGAUGCAGCAGAACUCGCCUCCCACCUUGUCCAAGUCGCCCGUGCCGGAGAGGGAGACCAUCCCGCCGCAAGAGACGCUAGGCGGCGGCGACGACAACAUAGAUCCCGUCGAUCCACGUGAGAGUGUUACAGGCUCCGAGGAACCCGGCUUGCCAGAAGCUGCCGUUAUGAGGAAGGACAUGGCGGCGGUUUCCAACAAGGAUGGCUUGCCCACCAGGAAGGAUGACGACGAGGAUGCAACGUCCGAGCCCACCACCAAGCCAUAAUAGCGAAAAUCUGAAGGAAAAAAUAUCAAGUAUGUUCUGGUAGAUUGCUGAACUGGUGUAGCAGUGCAUCAUUUUUUCGUUGUUAGUAAGUUGUAACCGCCUAUUGAAUAAUAAUUUGCAGAUAUUUUUUUAAGAAGGCUUUAAGACAAAAUUUAGUUACGAAAGAAUUCAAUCGCAUAGUGGAUUACUAUCUCUCUUAGAUAAUUGCUCAUUCUGUCAGGUUCAGAACUCAAAUCUCUAUCUCAUACUAGGAGCCAUACCGACUCUUUCCUUCUGUUUUUUACGGGAUGUGCUACCUAUUCAGUAGUAAUUUAUAGGAGGUUCGGCAAUUGGCACAGUGUGUGAAUCUAUGCCCCUCUCUUCUUUUCAUUCUAUCUAUUAAGCCUUAUUACCUGACGAAAUUUCUCCCUAGAAGGUGAUGUAUAUGCUAGACCAUGCAUUUUUAAAAAAUUCUAUGUUACAUUGGAUAUGGUUGAUGCCUAAGUGUCAAGUAUCAGUUGGUCGACAUUUGUAUUGGCGUACAUGCUAAAUGCAGAUACUUGUUCAUAUGACAGUAGAUACUAUGUUUUUAAUCCUUGAAUGAUGAUUAAGCCCUUUUUGGAUUGUAUACUUUCGUUGCUGAUCUUUCUUCGAUACAUCAUGUUCACGUCUUCGUGACCAAUUCUUAAACUAAAGUUACGUAGUUUGGCGAUGGGCUUCCUAACUGUGAUAUCAUUGUCCAACAUGUUCACCCUUUAAAUAGACCUAAACAGUGACAUCCAAUUUAAGCAUGGCUUUUAAGACUUUGUACCUUUCUUAUAGGUGACUGGCAUAACAAAUCAAUAACUUGAGAUACAUUUCACAAGCUUAGUCCCAUAGGUUGUAACAGAUAAUGUGCUAAUGUCCAGCAUGAUGAGUUUCUAUGAGCACUAGCUGUGCUGAGUUCAUGUAUGAGGGGCACCCUCCUCGAGAUCGGCAUGUCCUACUCUAGGGCCUCCAGUGUGCAGCUCCUUGGAAAGGUAGGUUACUGACUGCACUUGUUUGUGAAUACUUGGAGUGACCACAACUAAGUCACACAAUGAAACUUUACUUUCCAGAGUGUAACCUGCCGGACUUCUGAUAGAAUGAACUGAAAGACUUCUCUAACAAAAGUGAAGCUGAGGGGAGCAAGAGUGCUAAAAGUAGUCCAAUGUUUUUAGAUGUUCUCGAAUGUUAUCUGAAAUAUGAGGAGGAAUCCAAUGGGAAGCGGUGCAGAUCGACCAAGCGCGGUGGCACGAAGGACAACCCGAGAAUGGUGGAAAGAAGCAGGGGAAGGACAACGCAACGAAGCCCCCCUAGCUGCCCAAGGACUACAUCCAUGUCUGGGCAAGGCGUGGCGAGCAAGGCAUGGCGAGGCGAUGGACUGUCACAACCUCGUGGAGAGGGGAGAAGAUUAGCUAGCAGAUGAAGCCGCUGCAGGAUCUCGUGCCGAGUUGCAACAAGGUUUGAAUUCAGAGUAAAAUGUUUCUCAUUUUGGGUGGUGGGCAAGGCAGUGAUGCUCGAUGAAAUCAUAAACUAUGUGUAGACCUUGCAAUGGCGAAUCAAGGGAUAGUUACACAUCGAGGCUUUUCGAAAUGCUACUCUUCUGGCUCCCUCCUGGCUAAGCAGUUGAAGAAUGUGAAUGAACACAAAUGUCAAAUCUAUGGUGACACUGUCGGGUUCUUAGCAACAGGCGAUAUUUUUGUUGCGUGCAACGAAUGUGCCUUCCCUGUGUGUCGGUCACGCUAUGAGUAUGAGCGCAAAGAGGGGAAUCAAUGUUGUCCUCAAUGCAAAACUAGAUACAAGAGGCACAAAGGAAGCCCUCAAGUUCGGGGAGAUGAGGAGGAUGGAGUUGAUUUGGACAAUGAAUUAAACUAUACAGUAUACACAAGGCAAUGUCCAAGGGCCUGUGUUGCAGCUGUGGGGAUAAGGGGAGAUGUUGACAUCUCUUCGUAUUCUCGACAUGAACCCCAUCACUAAAUUCCACGUCUAACAACUGGACAACAGGUUGUUCUUCCACUUUAGCCAUAUAGUGUGAAGCUUUAAUGGAACCAACUGGUUCACUGCCUCACUGGUGGAGUUGUAGUCCAAUGUUCUUGGUUGCUUGUAGAUGAUGAAGUCCAUAUACAAGAAAAGUUGGGUGCUCCCAUCUAUUACCAGAUACAUCACUGGUUGCACUGUACCUUUACCCUUUCUUGAACACUGUCUACAAAACAAGAGAGUAUGAGUUCUUGAGGCUUACCAGCCUGGGUGUGAUCGAUGCUCUUGUGAAGGUAAGAAAUUUAAGACAACUAAGAAGGGCUAUAGAUUUCUAUUGGAGUGUCGGGAGGUGUGUAGGUUAUCAAUUUGGAAUUUUGGAUACAUAUUCCAGUCUUGCUGAUUAAAUAAUCUAACUGAGAUUUUAAAUCCUGUGCAUCCCUAUGUAAACAUCAAUAGCUGUUUGAAGAUGUGACAGUGAUGUAUUUUGAUGAAGGCUUGAAAUUCAUUUGUUUUUCUUUUAUAGCAGAUAUAUUUUUAAAAAUAAAGCUCAACCUUUUUCCUGGGAAUAUAUAUAGUUCGAUGAUCAUGAAGUCAGUUGUGUUUCUGCUGAGUUAUGAAAUGAUUCCUUUGUGUCUGUGUGCUAUUAAUAUGAGCAAUGAGCUUUCGAAAUGGUAUUUACCAACCUACUCGACCAUUAAUGAAAACACAAUUAAUCUUUUAUGUUUUCUCUAUGCCGACUACUCAAUUAGUGCGCUCCUUUCUUGUUCUAUUCUCCAUAUAUCGUGAUUGCUAUUUGAGAUAUCAAGCUAUUUCAGUGAUCAGAACUGGAGAUGAUCAAGUGGUGAGCUAUUAACUUGCUCUAAUGUCAUGAUUGGAGUUAGUUAUUCUCCUAUGAUUCCUAAGUCUUAAGCCUCUAAUGAUCCUAUCUUUAUCCUUGUGCAUCAUAUUCUGAGCAGCAAUAUACUAAACAAUAGGUGCCAUUGUUUCUCUUUGAAAAUCUUUAUCCUAAUUUAUAUGCUUGAGCUUGGGUCAGGAAUUAUAGUGGUCAGUUUAGAUAUCUAUGGAUUUUUGACAUCUCCCUUCGUUUUUAUUUAGAUAUCAUAUUUGUCUUAGUGCACAGACAAGGAUGAGAUUAACGCUGAGUUAAUACUUGUUUUUUCUGCUCCGUGCAAUUGAUGCUGCAUCAUACUCAGUACUCACGCUCGCAUGCUCACCUGCAUGCAGAUUUAAUUUUUCGUGGAAGGAACAGAGGGAGUAUUAGUCAAUAAACAGCAAAUUUAUAGACAUUUAUAUUUUCUUGGCUCCUGGACUAGAGUUUUAAUGUUGCAUUUAGUUUAUGGGGUACCUGCUUUUUCUCUAACUUUAACCUGAUUGUAUGCUACCUUCCUGAGGUGUAAGAUAUUCACUUACCAUACUGUUGUUUUGCAGCCGGUUGUUAGGAAGUGCACCGAAAUGUUGAGUCGAGCAAUUUGCAUAUCUGGCGGCGAUUUUUAUGUACGCAGGUUUCAUAAGGAUGGACCUAUUGUUUGGAGGUUGUUGGCUUUAUCUCCAUUCCGACGUCUGUCAAAGAUGGAUGAAAAAGCAAUCAUUUUACCAUAUAGGGAUACCUCACUUAACUCAGAGGAACCUAUGGCUGAGAUCUCUAGCCAAAAGAUUCAGAUUGCAGUCCUGGACAUGAUCGCUGCAAUAUCUUCGAACAAGAGAAAUGUUGUUGCACUAGAAAGCGUACUAAAGAAGAUGUGUACUACUCACUAAACCAAAGGGAAUCUUUACUUCCCGACCAAGAUCUAGCCCUGGUAUCAGAUCUUUUGCCCCCUCAAGUGUCUUCGAGAGAAUACCUCUUUGUACAGUAUGGAGGUGAGGGUGUCAGGUGUGAUGUAGACCCCUCAUCUGUUUAUUAUGUGUUCAGAAGGAUGCAGGGUGUGUGAUCUUGUGCGACCUGAAAAUCAGGUUCCUAAUACUGUGUAUUUGUAAUCUUGCUGAGUUUUUUUGGUCAUGCUAGCACCCUGUGUCACACAUUGAAUAUAAUAUCACCUGCUACAAAGAAUGGUAAACUUUUUCAUACGUGUUCUCGCACUGAAAAUCAUCAAGGUUGGUCACAUGUCUGAAGAAUGAUUAUGACAAGUCUUUACCACUUUGACCAUAAUUAUAUUAAGGUAGAAGUAGUGUGCUUUCUUCAUUCCGCAUAUCCACUAUUAACCUUAUAGAUAUCUGUACAUUGUCGUUGUACCAUAUGUUUUGGUGAAUCUCGUCUAACCUCGAGUACCCUUGAAAUUUUUCCAGCAAACAUCAGGACUCAUGAUGACAAUGAAGGAUGUGAUGAGUUUGUGUCUGUUAACCAUAUAAGGUUGCACGUUAAGCAUGCCCCUGACUUGCCGGACGAGCAGCAAGACUUUGGGACCUAGAUUGGCUAAGGCACUAAGAAUAGAAUAGCUUUUCAAGAAAAGAGAGACAACAACUAACACUGUACUAUGUAGGGGUGAAAUAGCUAGAUUAAGAUAAUAAAAUUUAUAUAUAGCUAGGAUCAUAAAUGGAUUACGAAACAUUUUUAUCUUAACAAUAUAACACAUGUUUAUAUAUAA